UAGCUCAGUUGGUAGAGUGCUUGCCUUGCAUGCACAAGACCCUGGGUUCAACCCCCAG
rnacentral:tRNA from 1 species